rnacentral:rRNA from 1 species
UACGUAGGGUGCGAGCGUUGUCCGGAAUUAUUGGGCGUAAAGCGCGCGUAGGCGGUUAUUUAAGUCUGUGGUGAAAGGUUCAGCGCUCAACGCGAACAUUGCCCUGGAUACUGGAUGACUUGAGUCUGGGAGAGGGUAGUGGAAUUCCUGGUGUAGCGGUGAAAUGCGUAGAUAUCAGGAGGAACACCGGUGGCGAAGGCGACUACCUGGCCUAAGACUGACGCUGAGGUGCGAAAGCGUGGGGAGCGAACGGG